CGAACUAAUGCUCGCUGGUUUGGGCAAAUAGCUGUUAACUAUUUGUUGUGGGAUCGAGGCCCACUGGUUCUG
rnacentral:tRNA from 1 species